UCUUGACUAGUAUAUCGGUUCAGUACACCCGCUUGUCAUUGUGCCUUUGCGCUCUCUUUCGCGGGAGAGCAGGGUUCGACUCCCUGGUCGAGAG